rnacentral:rRNA from 1 species
AUUGAACGCUGGCGGCAGGCCUAAUACAUGCAAGUCGACCGAGUGGCGGACGGGUGAGUACUGUCUGGCAACCCGCCCGAUGGAGGGGGAUAACUACUGGAAACGUUAUCUACUACCGCAUACCAUCGGAUGUGCCCAGAUGGGAUUAGCUAGUAGGUGGGGUAACGGCCCACCUAGGCGACUAUCCCUACCUGGUCUGAGAGGAGGACCAGCCACACUGGAACUGAGACACGGUCCAGACUCCUACGGGAGGCAGCAGUGGGGAAUAUUGCACAAUGGGCGCAAGCCUGAUGCAGCCAUGCCGCGUGUAUGAAGAAGGCCUGCGGGUUGUAAAGUACUUUCAGCGAGGAGGCGUUACUCGCAGAAGAAGCACCGGCUAACUCCGUGCCAGCAGCCGCGGUAAUUC